rnacentral:tRNA from 2 species
GGUGUCGUGGCCGAGUGGCUAGGCAACGGUCUGCAAAACCGUCUACAGCAGUUCGAUUCUGCUCGUCACCU